rnacentral:rRNA from 1 species
UGAAUACGAGAUGCUACGGCGUCGAAGCAGUCUAUGUCAUACUUCCAAGAAAAGCUUGCACUGUCAUAAACAAAUAAUGCCUGUACCAUAACCGACACAGGUGGGUAGGUAGAGUAUACUAAGGGGCGCGAGAUAACUCUCUCUAAGGAACUCGGCAAAAUGACUCCGUAACUUCGGGAGAAGGAGUGCCUUAUUUUAUAAGGUUGCAAUAACAAGAUCCAAGCAACUGUUUACCAAAAACACAGGUCUCCGCUAAGUCGUAAGACGAUGUAUGGGGGCUGACGCCUGCCCAGUGCCAGAAGGUUAAAGAAGUUGGUUAGCAUCCGCGAAGCUGAUAACUGAAGCCCUGGUGAACGGCGGCCGUAACUAUAACGGUCCUAAGGUAGCGAAAUUCCUUGUCGGGUAAGUUCCGACCCGCACGAAAGGCGUAAUGAUUUGGAUACUGUCUCAGAGAGGGGCUCGGUGAAAUAGACUUGUCUGUGAAGAUGCGGACUACCUGCACCAGGACAGAAAGACCCUAUGAAGCUUUACUGUAACUUGAAAUUGAAAUUGGACUUUACUUGCGCAGUAUAGGUGGGAGGCGUUGAGAAUAUUCUUGCGGGAAUGUUGGAGCCAUCAGUGAGAUACCACUCUUGUAAUGUUAGAUUUCUAACUUUGUAUCAUUAUCUGGUCAAAGGACAGUUUCAGGCGGGCAGUUUGACUGGGGCGGUCGCCUCCCAAACGGUAACGGAGGCGCACAAAGGUUUCCUCUGAACGGGUAGAAAUCGUAUCUAGAGUGUAAAGGCAUAAGGAAGCUUGACUGUGAGACCUACAAGUCGAGCAGGGACGAAAGUCGGUCUUAGUGAUCUGACGGUGCUGAGUGGAAAGGCCGUCACUCAACGGAUAAAAGUUACUCUAGGAUAACAGGCUGAUCUCCCCCAAGAGUUCACAUCGACGGGGAGGUUUGGCACCUGGAUGUCGGCUCAUCGCAUCCUGGGGCGGUAGUACGUCCCAAGGGUUGGGCUGUUCGCCCAUGAAAGCGGUACGCGAGCUGGGUUCAGAACGUCGUGAGACAGUUCGGUCCAUAUCCGGUGUAGGCGUUAGAAUAUUGAGAGGAGCCUUCUUUAGUACGAGAGGACCGAGAAGGACAUACCUCUGGUGUACCAGUUAUCGUGCCAACGGUAAACGCUGGGUAGCUAUGUAUGGAGUGGAUAACCGCUGAAAGCAUCUAAGUGGGAAGCCCACCUCAAGAUAAGUAUUCUCA